GUAAGUAGCGGCGAGCGAACGCGGAAGAGCCCAAACCAAUAAAGUUUUCUUUAUUGGGGUUGCGGACAUAUCAUAACGAAGAGGUAUCGUAAUUGAAGAGGUUUGGAAAGACCCACCACAGAAGGUAAUAGUCCUGUAUGUUAAACGAGAAAACUUUAGAUAUGAUCCAGAGUACCACGGGACACGUGAAACCCUGUGGGAAGCAGGAG
rnacentral:rRNA from 1 species